AAACCGGAGGGAAGGUGGGGAUGACGUCAAAUCAUCAUGCCCCUUAUGACCUGGGCUACACACGUGCUACAAUGGAUGGUACAAAGGGCUGCAAGACCGCGAGGUCAAGCCAAUCCCAUAAAACCAUUCUCAGUUCGGAUUGUAGGCUGCAACUCGCCUACAUGAAGCUGGAAUCGCUAGUAAUCGCGGAUCAGCAUGCCGCGGUGAAUACGUUCCCGGGCCUUGUACACACCGCCCGUCACACCACGAGAGUUUGUAACACCCGAAGUCGGUGGAGUAACCGUAAGGAGCUAGCCGCCUAAGGUGGGACAGAUGAUUGGGGUGAAGUCGUAACAAG
rnacentral:rRNA from 1 species